UACAGAGGUCUCAAGCGUUGUUCGGAUUCAUUGGGCGUAAAGGGUGCGUAGGCGGCGUGGUAAGUCGGGUGUGAAAUCUCGGAGCUUAACUCCGAAACUGCAUUCGAUACUGCCGUGCUUGAGGACUGGAGAGGAGACUGGAAUUCACGGUGUAGCAGUGAAAUGCGUAGAUAUCGUGAGGAAGACCAGUGGCGAAGGCGGGUCUCUGGACAGUUCCUGACGCUGAGGCGCGAAGGCCAGGGGAGCAAACGGG
rnacentral:rRNA from 1 species